UACCCCCGGCAGAACUCAGCAUAUCAAUAAGCGGAGGAAAAGAAACCAACAGGGAUUGCCCUAGUAACGGCGAGUGAAGCGGCAACAGCUCAAAUUUGAAAUCUGGCCCUCUCAGGGCCCGAGUUGUAAUUUGUAGAGGGUGCUUUGGCGUUGGCUGCGGUCUAAGUUCCUUGGAACAGGACGUCAUGGAGGGUGAGAAUCCCGUACGUGGCUGCCAGACUUCGCCGUGUAAAGCCCCUUCGACGAGUCGAGUUGUUUGGGAAUGCAGCUCUAAAUGGGAGGUAAAUUUCUUCUAAAGCUAAAUAUUGGCCAGAGACCGAUAGCGCACAAGUAGAGUGAUCGAAAGAUGAAAAGCACUUUGGAAAGAGAGUCAAAAAGCACGUGAAAUUGUUGAAAGGGAAGCGCUUGCAGCCAGACUUGCCUGUAGUUGCUCAUCCGGGCUCUCGCCCGGUGCACUCUUCUGCGGGCAGGCCAGCAUCAGUUCGAGCGGCCGGACAAAGACCUCUAUCACGUAUCUUCCUUCGGGAUGACCUUAUAGGGGAGGUGUAAUGCGGCCAGCUCGGAUUGAGGUCCGCGCAUCUGCUAGGAUGCUGGCGUAAUGGCUGUAAGCGGCCCGUCUUGAAACACGGACCAAGGAGUCUAACAUCUAUGCGAGUGUUUGGGUGUCAAGCCCGGGCGCGCAAUGAAAGUGAACGGAGGUGGGAACCCUUUGGGUGCACCAUCGACCGAUCCUGAUGUCUUCGGAUGGAUUUGAGUAAGAGCAUAGCUGUUGGGACCCGAAAGAUGGUGAACUAUGCCUGAAUAGGGUGAAGCCAGAGGAAACUCUGGUGGAGGCUCGCAGCGGUUCUGACGUGCAAAUCGAUCGUCAAAUUUGGGCAUAGGGGCGAAAGACUAAUCGAACUAUCUAGUAGCUGGUUCCUGCGAAGUCUCGGGUAGAGGAAUA
rnacentral:rRNA from 1 species